rnacentral:rRNA from 1 species
GACAGAGGAUGCAAGCGUUAUCCGGAAUGAUUGGGCGUAAAGCGUCUGUAGGUGGCUUUUCAAGUCCGCCGUCAAAUCCCAGGGCUCAACCCUGGACAGGCGGUGGAAACUACCAAGCUGGAGUACGGUAGGGGCAGAGGGAAUUUCCGGUGGAGCGGUGAAAUUCGUAGAUAUUGGGAAGAACACCGGUGGCGAAGGCGGCUCUCUGGACCGUAACUGACGCUGAGGCGCGAAAGCGUGGGGAGCAAACAGG